rnacentral:rRNA from 1 species
GAUGAACGCUGGCGGCGUGCCUAAUACAUGCAAGUCGAACGCACAGCGAAAGGUGCUUGCACCUUUCAAGUGAGUGGCGAACGGGUGAGUAACACGUGGACAACCUGCCUCAAGGCUGGGGAUAACAUUUGGAAACAGAUGCUAAUACCGAAUAAAACUUAGUGUCGCAUGACACAAAGUUAAAAGGCGCUUCGGCGUCACCUAGAGAUGGAUCCGCGGUGCAUUAGUUAGUUGGUGGGGUAAAGGCCUACCAAGACAAUGAUGCAUAGCCGAGUUGAGAGACUGAUCGGCCACAGUGGGACUGAGACACGGCCCAAACUCCUACGGGAGGCUGCAGUAGGGAAUCUUCCACAAUGGGCGAAAGCCUGAUGGAGCAACGCCGCGUGUGUGAUGAAGGCUUUCGGGUCGUAAAGCACUGUUGUAUGGGAAGAACAGCUAGAAUAGGAAAUGAUUUUAGUUUGACGGUACCAUACCAGAAAGGGACGGCUAAAUACGUG